rnacentral:lncRNA from 1 species
UUAUGGGGAUGUAUAAUAGGUACCUCCAGCUGAACUAGAGGCUCUCUUACUGAACUAGAGGCAAACAAUAUUAAUUCGCGCAAGCCUGAGAGCGAUCUCUCUCAAAAACAAGUUAUUAACUUCAUCUCUGAACAGGUGUUUAUACAAUCACAAUCAUUAUAUUAAUUAUUUAACAUAUUUUGUUGAAGGAUUAAUUAGCUUACUUGGUUGAUUUCUUUGACCACUUAAGAAUUUACUAUUUGUUUGCCUAAAACCAUCGUCAACUGUUGAUUAGCUUAAGAGGGUCUGAUUCAGCAACUUCUCAAAACUCCAAAACUCCAACGUUGAUACUCCAACGUUCUCAACGCCUUGAGAAGGAACAACGGUCAUGAACUAAAGCAAGCUGGAGAGGAAUAAAUCACAGCAUACCAUUAUCAAUUUAUCAUCAGAAAAAUCAUACCAUUAUCAUCAGAACUAGAGAAAAAAAAAACUAAAUCAGAACGAAGCUUUUGAAGUGAUUUUAAGAAAAAAAACAAAAAAUAAAAUCAAAGCUAAAACUUGAGAUGGAUGAAGAGAUAAUCCGAGAUCAAAGGAUCGAAACUAAAACCCACAACACAAAACACGAUUGGAGAAAUCUGGUUCAGGCCAGAGAAAUCAUGGUUGGAGAAGACGAAUCGAGAUGCAGAGAAGCCUCAAGAAUCUUUCAUCGCGAGAAGAAGAUUUUUCAUCGGGGAAUCGUAAAAUGGAAAAAUCUGAUUUUUCCCCAAAAUUAAAAAACCUAAUUUUUUAAUGUAUUGGGUUAACCCAGUGACCAAUUGGUUUGGCCCAAACUAUCCAUGGGCAAAUUCGGUUUUGUAGCCCAACUGGACCAUUAAGUUAUGGGUUCACCCAACACCCACCCAACACAGUCUGGACUGGGUCACACCCAUGGGCACCCAACCAAUUGACAGCCCUAC